GAUGAACGCUGGCGGCGUGCCUAAUACAUGCAAGUCGAGCGAACAGACGAGGAGCUUGCUCCUCUGACGUUAGCGGCGGACGGGUGAGUAACACGUGGAUAACCUACCUAUAAGACUGGGAUAACUUCGGGAAACCGGAGCUAAUACCGGAUAAUAUAUUGAACCGCAUGGUUCAAUAGUGAAGGACGGUUUUGCUGUCACUUAUAGAUGGAUCCGCGCCGCAUUAGCUAGUUGGUAAGGUAACGGCUUACCAAGGCAACGAUGCGUAGCCGACCUGAGAGGGUGAUCGGCCACACUGGAGCUGAGACACGGUCCAGACUCCUACGGGAGGCAGCAGUAGGGAAUCUUCCGCAAUGGGCGAAAGCCUGACGGAGCAACGCCGCGUGAGUGAUGAAGGUCUUCGGAUCGUAAAACUCUGUUAUUAGGGAAGAACAAAUGUGUAAGUAACUAUGCACGUCUUGACGGUACCUAAUCAGAAAGCCACGGCUAACUACGUG
rnacentral:rRNA from 1 species